rnacentral:precursor_RNA from 12 species
CUCCUGUUCUUGCAACUCCAGGUGCCCGGUUGUUGAGAGGCAGGAAACAUGCCGUAUUUCCUCUGGGUAAGUUUCUUGCCUCUUACAAUUGAGCGCCUGUCCCCUGCCCAGGAGAGAGU